rnacentral:rRNA from 1 species
UACGUAGGGGGCAAGCGUUGUCCGGAUUUAUUGGGCGUAAAGAGCGUGUAGGCGGCCAAACAGGUCAGCUGUGAAAACUCGAGGCUCAACCUCGAGACGUCGGUUGAAACCGUUUGGCUAGAGUCCGGAAGAGGAGUGUGGAAUUCCCGGUGUAGCGGUGAAAUGCGCAGAUAUCGGGAAGAACACCCGUGGCGAAGGCGGCACUCUGGGACGGUACUGACGCUGAGACGCGAAAGCGUGGGGAGCGAACAGG